rfam:Ciona savignyi cont_45719, whole genome shotgun sequence.
CGACAGGUCCGGGAAACCCGUUGAACCCCGGUCGUGCUAGGGAUAGGGAAUUGCAAUUAUUUCCCUUGAACGAGGAAUUCCCAGUAAGCGCGAGUCAUUAGCUCGCGUUGAUUACGUCCCUGCCCUUUGUACACACCGCCCGUCGCUACUACCGAUUGAAUGGUUUAGUGAGGUCCUCCGAUUGGACCCGGUCCGGGCGGCGACGUCCGAGCCGGCGUCCGAGAAGACGAUCUAACUUGAUCAUUUAGAGGAAGUAAAAGUCGUAACAAGGUUUCCGUAGGUGAACCUGCGGAAGGAUCAUUA